rnacentral:ncRNA from 1 species
AUAUGACUGCCACCGGGUAGCAAACACCAAGUACUUUUUCCAAUCCCAUUAGGUCAUUGAAGGGAUUGUGAAGGGGUACUUUUUUGGU